CAUACCACCAACCACUACAUAAGCUACACCGGGAAGCUUUCGUUCAUCAGAAGAAAACACUUCAUUUUUAGCUGUUGAAAUUGUUUUUCUUUCGGUUGAUAGAAACCAUCCAAACGCAUUCUCCGUUUUUAAACCCACAUAGCCCAACGCGUGAAAAAUGGAAGAACGGCCUUCAUGUAUUCGAUCAGCCAACCAAGGAAAAUUGCUUUUCAAUUCCGGAUUGUUGUUCACCUCCUCUGUUUCAUAAUAAUAUGACAUUUUUAUUACUGCCGUUUGUAGCUGGUAAGUCAGAAGCCCGCUGAGGAUUGCAUAGUAUCAUUCUCUUUAACGAUGUAUUGAAAUGCGUUAAAUAAAAUGUUCAGGUUAUAGAUUUGGAUAGUCUUCAAAACGACAAAUGCUUAUAAUAAUAAGUAGAAUGUACUAUUUUACUUGCAUAUGUAUUAUUUUUGAUAUCGAAAAAUUGUCUGACCGCGGUCAUUCCAUCUCUUGCUUAGCUACGAUAAACAAUUUCCGUCUCUAAUUCAUCACCUUUUAUUCCUUGAGUUAAACAAGCCCAUAUUUUAAAAUGAAAAGAAAGUCAAAUAUUUUCUGGGUUCUUAUUGUUCACAAUCUCCUAAGCAUAAGUGUUAGGUUCCACACAUGCUUUGCAUUUUUGCAAAUAAAGUUAAGGCUAUAAUAACUAGUGCAAGCCAACAGUUAUUUUCUAUUGAUUUAUCAAACUAAAAGCAUUUGACUCGGCAUACUAACUUAACAUUAAAAACAUUAAAGAACCCAGCACAAAAAUGGUAUAUAACAUGAACUCUUAUACAAUAUGUAAUAUUAUCUUAGCAAAAAUUUAUAUCGGUAGUAGCAUGAAAACAUUCCCAUCAAGAUAUUCAAUGAA